AAGUCGUAACAAGGUUUCCGUAGGUGAACCUGCGGAAGGAUCAUUAUUGAAAAUAAACCUGAUGGGCUGUUGCUGGUUCUCUAGAGAGCAUGUGCACGCCUUGUCAUCUUUAUAUCUCCACCUGUGCACUCUUUGUAGACCUUUCAGGUCUAUGUUGCCUGUUCAUUUACCCCAAUGUAUGUUAAUAGAAUGUUGUGCCUAUGAAAUAUAUACAACUUUCAGCAACGGAUCUCUUGGCUCUC
rnacentral:misc_RNA from 1 species